rnacentral:rRNA from 1 species
GACGAACGCUGGCGGCGUGCCUAAUACAUGCAAGUAGAACGCUGAAGAGAGGAGCUUGCUCUUCUUGGAUGAGUUGCGAACGGGUGAGUAACGCGUAGGUAACCUGCCUUGUAGCAGGGGAUAACUAUUGGAAACGAUAGCUAAUACCGCAUAACAAUGGAUGACACAUGUCAUUUAUUUGAAAGGGGCAAUUGCUCCACUACAAGAUGGACCUGCGUUGUAUUAGCUAGUAGGUGAGGUAACGGCUCACCUAGGCGACGAUACAUAGCCGACCUGAGAGGGUGAUCGGCCACACUGGGACUGAGACACGGCCCAGACUCCUACGGGAGGCAGCAGUAGGGAAUCUUCGGCAAUGGGGGCAACCCUGACCGAGCAACGCCGCGUGAGUGAAGAAGGUUUUCGGAUCGUAAAGCUCUGUUGUAAGUCAAGAACGAGUGUGAGAGUGGAAAGUUCACACUGUGACGGUAGCUUACCAGAAAGGGACGGCUAACUACGUG